rnacentral:rRNA from 1 species
GAGCGGACCGACGGGAGCUUGCUCCCUUAGGUCAGCGGCGGACGGGUGAGUAACACGUGGGUAACCUGCCUGUAAGACUGGGAUAACUCCGGGAAACCGGGGCUAAUACCGGAUGCUUGAUUGAACCGCAUGGUUCAAUCAUAAAAGGGGGCUUUUAGCUACCACUUACAGAUGGACCCGCGGCGCAUUAGCUAGUUGGUGAGGUAACGGCUCACCAAGGCGACGAUGCGUAGCCGACCUGAGAGGGUGAUCGGCCACACUGGGACUGAGACACGGCCCAGACUCCUACGGGAGGCAGCAGUAGGGAAUCUUCCGCAAUGGACGAAAGUCUGACGGAGCAACGCCGCGUGAGUGAUGAAGGUUUUCGGAUCGUAAAACUCUGUUGUUAGGGAAGAACAAGUACCGUUCGAAUAGGGCGGCACCUUGACGGUACCUAACCAGAAAGCCACGGCUAACUACGUGCCAGCAGCCGCGGUAAUACGUAGGUGGCAAGCGUUGUCCGGAAUUAUUGGGCGUAAAGCGCGCGCAGGCGGUUUCUUAAGUCUGAUGUGAAAGCCCCCGGCUCAACCGGGGAGGGUCAUUGGAAACUGGGGAACUUGAGUGCAAAAGAGGAGAGUGGAAUUCCACGUGUAGCGGUGAAAUGCGUAAGAUGUGGAGGAACACCAGUGGCGAAGGCGACUCUCUGGUCUGUAACUGACGCUGAAGCGCGAAACGUGGGGAGCGAACAGGAUUAGAUACCCUGGUAGUCCACGCCGUAAACGAUGAGUGCUAAGUGUUAGAGGGUUUCCGCCCUUUAGUGCUGCAGCAAACGCAUUAAGCACUCCGCCUGGGGAGUACGGUCGCAAGACUGAAACUCAAAGGAAUUGACGGGGGCCCGCACAA